CUCAAUCCCAGGUCAUUACCGAGUUUACACUCCCAAACCCCUGUGAACAUACCACUUGUUGCCUCGGCGGAUCAGCCCGCUCCCGGUAAAACGGGACGGCCCGCCAGAGGACCCCUAAACUCUGUUUCUAUAUGUAACUUCUGAGUAAAACCAUAAAUAAAUCAAAACUUUCAACAACGGAUCUCUUGGUUCUGGCAUCGAUGAAGAACGCAGCAAAAUGCGAUAAGUAAUGUGAAUUGCAGAAUUCAGUGAAUCAUCGAAUCUUUGAACGCACAUUGCGCCCGCCAGUAUUCUGGCGGGCAUGCCUGUUCGAGCGUCAUUUCAACCCUCAAGCACAGCUUGGUGUUGGGACUCGCGUUAAUUCGCGUUCCUCAAAUUGAUUGGCGGUCACGUCGAGCUUCCAUAGCGUAGUAGUAAAACCCUCGUUACUGGUAAUCGUCGCGGCCACGCCGUUAAACCCCAACUUCUGAAUGUUGACCUCGGAUCAGGUAGGAAUACCCGCUGAACUUAAGCAUAUCAAUUAAAGCGGAGGA
rnacentral:rRNA from 1 species